rnacentral:rRNA from 1 species
CUACGGGUCGCACCAGCAAGGAAUAUUGCGCAAUGGGCGAAAGCCUGACGCAGCAACACCGCGUGGAGGAAGAAGGCUUUCGGAUCGUAAACUCCUUUUCUGGGGGAAGAGAAAGGACGGUACCCCAGGAAUAAGUCUCGGCUAACUACGUGCCAGCAGCCGCGGUAAAACGUGGGAGGCGAGCGUUAUCCGGAAUUACUGGGCGUAAAGCGCAUGCAGGCGGUUUAAUAAGUCGGACGUGAAAGCUCCUGGCUCAACCAGGAGAGGCCGUUCGAAACUAGAAAACUUGAGGGUGGUAGAGGUGAGUGGAAUUCCCGGUGUAGUGGUGAAAUGCGUAGAUAUCGGGAGGAACACCAGUGGCGAAGGCGGCUCACUGGGCCAACCCUGACGCUCAGAUGCGAAAGCUAGGGGAGAGAACGGGAUUAGAUACCCUAGUAGUC